rnacentral:rRNA from 1 species
UACGAAGGGGGCUAGCGUUGCUCGGAAUCACUGGGCGUAAAGGGUGCGUAGGCGGGUCUUUAAGUCAGGGGUGAAAUCCUGGAGCUCAACUCCAGAACUGCCUUUGAUACUGAAGAUCUUGAGUUCGGGAGAGGUGAGUGGAACUGCGAGUGUAGAGGUGAAAUUCGUAGAUAUUCGCAAGAACACCAGUGGCGAAGGCGGCUCACUGGCCCGAUACUGACGCUGAGGCACGGAAAGCG